CAGCAGCCACGGGAAUACGUAGGUGGCAAGCGUUGUCCGGAAUUAUUGGGCGUAAAGGGCUCGCAGGCGGUUUCUUAAGUCUGAUGUGAAAGCCCCCGGCUCAACCGGGGAGGGACAUUGGAAACUGGGAAACUUGAGUGCAGAAGAGGAGAGUGGAAUUCCACGUGUAGCGGUGAAAUGCGUAGAGAUGUGGAGGAACACCAGUGGCGAAGGCGACUCUCUGGUCUGUAACUGACGCUGAGGAGCGAAAGCGUGGGGAGCGAACAGGAUUAGAUACCCCCGUAGUCCCUGUCUCUUAUAC
rnacentral:rRNA from 1 species